UGCUUAACACAUGCAAGUCGAGCGAAUUUCAGCAGCGUAUCGCUGAAGUUAGCGGCAGACGGGUGAGUAACACUUGGGCAAUCUACCCUCAAGAGGGAAACAACCUGCCGAAAGGCGGGCUGAUAUCCCGUAAGACCACAGGAUGGCAUCAUCCAGGGGUCAAAGCUCCGCAAGGGGCGCUGGAGGAGGAGCCCGAGGCCUAUCAUGGUAGUUGGCGGGGUAACGGCCCACCAAGCCUUUGACGGGUAGCCGGCCUGAAAGGGUGAUCGGCCACACUGGCACUGAGACACGGGCCAGACUCCUACGGGAGGCAGCAGUGGGGAAUUUUGGACAAUGGGGGCAACCCUGAUCCAGCGACGCCGCGUGGAGGAUGAAGGUCUUCGGAUUGUAAACUCC
rnacentral:rRNA from 1 species